AAUGAACGCUGGCGGCAUGCCUAACACAUGCAAGUCGAACGAAAACAUCGGGUCUAGUGGUGCCCGGUGGCGUAAGGGGUGGGAACCUGCCCUUAGGUACGGCCUACCUACCCGAAAGGGAUGCUAAUGCGGGAUAAUAUCUUAGGCCCAAUGAUUUUUUGAACUUGGAUGGGCACGCGUUGGAUUAGCUAGUUGGUUGGGUAAUAGCCUACGACGGCGACGAUGCAUAGGUGGUUAGAGAGGGUGCUCAGCCACACUGGGACUGAGACACGGCCGAGACGCCUACGGGAGGAAGCAGCGGGGAAUCUUACGCGAUGCGGGAGAGGGUGAUAGAGGAAAGUCGGGGGAGGGAUGAAGGAGUUAGGCUGGGAAAGCGAUGUAGGCAGGAGGGAAGUAAUGCUCUAUUACCCGGGAUGAUAAUGACGGUACCUGGAGAAUAAGCCCCGGCUAACUACGUG
rnacentral:rRNA from 1 species